rnacentral:rRNA from 1 species
GCUCCCUGAUGUCUAGUCGGCGGACGGGUGAGUAACACGUGGGUAACCUGCCUGUAAGACUGGGAUAACUCCGGGAAACCGGGGCUAAUACCGGAUGGUUGUUUGAACCGCAUGGUUCAGACAUAAAAGGUGGCUUCGGCUACCACUUACAGAUGGACCCGCGGCGCAUUAGCUAGUUGGUGAGGUAACGGCUCACCAAGGCGACGAUGCGUAGCCGACCUGAGAGGGUGAUCGGCCACACUGGGACUGAGACACGGCCCAGACUCCUACGGGAGGCAGCAGUAGGGAAUCUUCCGCAAUGGACGAAAGUCUGACGGAGCAACGCCGCGUGAGUGAUGAAGGUUUUCGGAUCGUAAAGCUCUGUUGUUAGGGAAGAACAAGUGCCGUUCAAAUAGGGCGGCACCUUGACGGUACCUAACCAGAAAGCCACGGCUAACUACGUGCCAGCAGCCGCGGUAAUACGUAGGUGGCAAGCGUUGUCCGGAAUUAUUGGGCGUAAAGGGCUCGCAGGCGGUUUCUUAAGUCUGAUGUGAAAGCCCCCGGCUCAACCGGGGAGGGUCAUUGGAAACUGGGGAACUUGAGUGCAGAAGAGGAGAGUGGAAUUCCACGUGUAGCGGUGAAAUGCGUAGAGAUGUGGAGGAACACCAGUGGCGAAGGCGACUCUCUGGUCUGUAACUGACGCUGAGGAGCGAAAGCGUGGGGAGCGAACAGGAUUAGAUACCCUGGUAGUCCACGCCGUAAACGAUGAGUGCUAAGUGUUAGGGGGUUUCCGCCCCUUAGUGCUGCAGCUAACGCAUUAAGCACUCCGCCUGGGGAGUACGGUCGCAAGACUGAAACUCAAAGGAAUUGACGGGGGCCCGCACAAGCGGUGGAACAUGUGGUUUAAUUCGAAGCAACGCGAAGAACCUUACCAGGUCUUGACAUCCUCUGACAAUCCUAGAGAUAGGACGUCCCCUUCGGGGGCAGAAUGACAGGUGGUGCAUGGUUGUCGUCAGCUCCUGUCCUGAGAUGUUGGGUUAAGUCCCGCAACAACCGCAACCCUUGAUCUUAGUUGCCACCAUUCAGUUGGGCACUCUAAGGUGACUGCCGGUGACAAACCGGAGGAAGGUGGGGAUGACGUCAAAUCAUCAUGCCCCUUAUGACCUGGGCUACACACGUGCUACAAUGGACAGAACAAAGGGCAGCGAAACCGCGAGGUUAAGCCAAUCCCACAAAUCUGUUCUCAGUUCGGAUCGCAGUCUGCAACUCGACUGCGUGAAGCUGGAAUCGCUAGUAAUCGCGGAUCAGCAUGCCGCGGUGAAUACGUUCCCGGGCCUUGUACACACCGCCCGUCACAACCACGAGAGUUUG